rnacentral:rRNA from 1 species
UACGGAAGGCAGCAGUGGGGAAUAUUGCACAAUGGGCGCAAGCCUGAUGCAGCCAUGCCGCGUGUAUGAAGAAGGCCUUCGGGUUGUAAAGUACUUUCAGUCGUGAGGAAGGUGUUAAGGUUAAUAACCUUAGCAAUUGACGUUAGCGACAGAAGAAGCACCGGCUAACUCCGUGCCAGCAGCCGCGGUAAUACGGAGGGUGCGAGCGUUAAUCGGAAUUACUGGGCGUAAAGGGCACGCAGGCGGUUAAUUAAGUUGGAUGUGAAAUCCCCGGGCUUAACCUGGGAAUGGCAUUCAAGACUGGUUAGCUAGAGUCUUGUAGAGGGGGUAGGAAUUCCAUGUGUAGCGGUGAAAUGCGUAGAGAUGUGGAGGAAUACCGGUGGCGAAGGCGGCCCCUGGACAAAGACUGACGCUCAUGUGCGAAAGCGUGGGGAGCAAACAGGGAUUAGAUACC